UCUGAGAGGCAGGCACCUUGGUGCUGGCAGUGACCAUGUUCGAGAGAGACUGGAAGGAGAGUAGUUAGGUGAUUUGUUUGAGAGGAAACUCCUCAAAUGCUUUGAGUCUUUCUAUUCAAGAAUGGAAGCAAGAACUCAGUGGAAUAAUAUUUCAAAAAGCAACUUAUAGAAUGGAUAUUGCUGUGCACAGAAAAUUUUACAUGACAAGUGUGGCCCACAUUCAGUUUCUAUUGGACAGCACCAGUCUACGCAGAUGCAGCAAACCUUUCCUGACCCAGCCCCGAGUCCUCCCAGCUAAGACUCUUCCUUCACUGCAAAAGUCUGAAGACCAAGAAGUCGGCAUUUUCAGUUCCUAAGCUGACAGCUCUGCCAGUUCAAACUUGGCUUACGGCCAGAAAGAUGGCCUUGUUCCACAUUGACUAUAUUUGCUAUGCUUGUGAACAAGGUGCUAUACUUAUCUCAACACCCACCGUAAGGUUUUUCAGGAUGUACUUACUUUUAAUUCCAUUUAACUUGGAUUGGGGGAAGACAGUUUAGUUGGGGUGGGGGGAAGGGAGCAGAUAGAAGGGGAAUGGACAGGGAUACCUUAAUUAUUUAAAUUCACCAGGAAACAAAAUGUUCUUUUAAAUCAUCUGAUUAUCUUGGACUGCUUAGAUAGGUAAGACACAUAACUUAAGUAAAGGUGAGUGAUAGAGUGAAAGAUUCCUCAAGGUAAUUACUUGGAUACACACAGAUUCACCAUGAUUCACCAAAUCCAACAAUCACAAAAUCUUUUUCUUGGUAGUAUAGCUCACAAGGAUCUGUGACUUUGAACAUCAGAUUCAACCCUUACCAGACACGCUGACCGGUCAGAGCCAGGUCACACACUAGGGUGAGUCUAUUGUGAAGGGUCAAGAGACAGACAGAGGGCAAAGAAGACAUUGCUUUUUCACUGACAACCCAGAAAAGCAUUUCCCUUCACGCAGAAAAGAAGAGGGUAUAGUCUCUUAUAUUUAAUUAGGGAUUCACAGUCUUAUGUUCACAAGUUUUAAAACAUUUCUGAAAACCAACAACUUUUCCAAAUUGAUUUGAAGGCAAAACCUGACCUGAACUGACAUGAGGCUAUUUGCAGUCUUUAUCCCACUUAGUCUGAAGUUCAUACAUUAAACUGCAGACAUGCUGGUAUGUCUGGUUUUGAGCUACUUCCCAAGCCACCUGGGGGUGUCACAACAUACGCAACAUAACUGGAAUAGUUUACCUUCUAAUUCCAAAACGUUUGGAAUUUUGAAACCCACCUAACCCCACGAACUUCAGGUAAUGAACCUACUUAUGGAAUAUCACAGCUCAGAAGGCAUGGGAGUAACAGCUCUCCACCUACUUGUGUUUUCUCUUAACUCAGCCGAUGUUCUAAAAGUUACUUUUCCCUCCUGUGCUCUGUCUAGUUCCUCAUCCACACAAUCCUGCCCUAACUCGAAGGUAGUUGAGUGGUUGAUUUAGUGGUUGCCAGGUUCUGUUUCAGACACACUGUGAUAAUGCGCAUGCUGUCUCUUUUUGAUGUCAGCUAGUCAUUGUUGGCAAGCCUGCAUGAAAUUACAGUAAUUAAAUUUACCUUUUCGAAACUUGCUAAAACAGAAAACGGUUAUAUAAGAUCGUUUUAGCAUAGCUACAAAAGAAAAAGAAUGCCAUGAGUUAUGA